GAUGAACGCUGGCGGUAUGCUUAACACAUGCAAGUCGAACGGUCACUUCGGUGAUAGUGGCGGACGGGUGAGUAACGCGUGAGAAUCUUUCCUCAGGUCUGGGACAACAGUUAGAAAUGACUGCUAAUACCGGAUGUGCCUUUGGGUGAAAGAUUUAUUGCCUGAAAAAGAGCUCGCGUCAGAUUAGCUAGUAGGUGGUGUAAGAGACUACCUAGGCUCCGAUCUGUAGCUGGUCUGAGAGGACGAUCAGCCACACUGGAACUGAGACACGGUCCAGACUCCUACGGGAGGCAGCAGUGGGGAAUUUUCCGCCAUGGGCGAAAGCCUGACGGAGCAAUACCGCGUGAGGGACGAAGGCUUUUGGGUCGUAAACCUCUUUUCUCAAGGAAGAUGAUGACGGUACUUGAGGAAUAAGCAUCGGCUAACUCUGUG
rnacentral:rRNA from 1 species